UUUUUGGCUAUUGCUACAAAUAUACCCCAGUGACUUAAGACUGGUUUUGUGCUCCAGGGGUCACAAUGCAUCUCCAAGUAAAUAUUCUUGUUGUUAUCUAUGAGAAAGACCAAUGGACGUUAAGAGUAAGGGUAUUAAUAACCAUUUGUGCUGGUCAGAAUGUAUUUGAAGAAGCACUUCAGAUGUGGUUGUUAUUUGUAAUGCCUUGUUGUAUUAUUAAGUGAGUGUACAUUCAUAAUUGAGGUUGUGAUUGUCAGUAGGUUUGGAUGUGAAUGAGCCAAAUUGGCAAUGUACAUUUUAUUUUAUUUUUCUGUUGCAAUCUGUCAUACUGCUUGCAUACAGAUGGUUUAUUGUGUUUGAAAAGCACGUACUAAUAAGCUUUGAUGACAGAGGUCAGCAGGUUUAGUGAAGUAAUGAAUGCACUGAAUGAAUGUGAUAGCAUUUGUUUUUAUAUCGUCGUUUUCUGUAUUGCAUUUGUAUUUGCUUUCCAAAAUUAUAAACAUAUUGUGUUGCUUUAUCAGAACCCGAUCCUAAAUGAGACAUUUUUGCUGUAUAAAUCUAUGCAAUAGUCUUGUUUGGUUUUAGCCAAGUGCAGUUUUGUAUUCUGUAGGUGUCAUUUGACUUUUUAUGUGCCUUCAAAAAUAAAGGCAUUUAAAAUAUAUAUUAAA